UAAAGCUAUUCAAUUCAGUAUUAGAUGUAUUGUAUAUAUUAGCUAUGGAAAUUUGGGUAAUCGCUUAUGCAACUACAAAUAAUUGUUCCUGUGACUUUUUAGCUAGAUAUUUCUAUUUUUUAAAGUGACAGGUUGCCUGGUGUGGACCAGCAUAACCUGCAUGAUUCGUAAAUAAUGUCUAUCAGAUUUCGCUUGCUGUAAACAACCUGGUUUUAGAACUCAUGUGUUAUUUGUGGGGGGAUUUGAAAUUGUGGCAAAACGUAAGGUUUUUGAAAUGCUUAAUUUUAUCUAUAUAUUAUGUUAUUAUAUAUUAUUUAGAAGGAUGACAAGAAUAAUAGAAAAUUUAUGAUGCAGAGGCAAGUUUUACUUACAAAGGAAAACCAAUAGAAAUAGCAUGGCAGAGAAACUAUGGAAACCUUGACAUAGAGGAUACACAGAAACCAACCACAAGCAACAUCAUAGAUUAAUUGUUUAUCGAGAACAAGAUACGUAUUUGUUUAUCGAAAAAACUAGCGUUUGAUCAUCGAGAACCAACGAAGUAUUUAAUCAUCGAGAACCAACGAAGUAUUUAAUCAUCAAUAACCAAAAACGUCUUUGUUCCUCAAAAACCAACGACGUAUUUGAUUAUCGAGAACCAACGACGUAUUUGAUCACCAAGAACCAACGACGUAUUUGAUCACCAAGAACCAAUGACGUAUUUGAUCACCAAGAACCAACGACGUAUUUGAUCAUCGAGAACAAUUGAUCAAUGAGAAAGGUGACGUAUUUGAACAUCAGGAAAAUUACAUAUUUAAUCAUCGAGGACAAAUGACGUUUUUAGUAAUCAAGAACCAACGACAUAUUUGCUCAUCCAGAAUCAUCCACGUAAUUUGUCAUGGAGAACAAAAUGACGUUUUUGAUCAUCGAGAAAAGUGACGUAUAUGAUCAUAAAGAAACAAUGACGUUUUUUUGUCAUGGAGAACACAUGACGCACUUGAUCAUCUAGAAAAAUAACGUAUUUAACCAUCAAGAACCAACAACCUAUUUAAUCUAGACCAAAUGACGCAUUUGAUCAUUGGUAACCAACGACGUAUUUGAUCAUCGAGAACAAAUGAGGUAUUUGAUCAUCGAGAACAAAUGACGUAUUUGAUAAUCGAGAACAAAUGAUGUCUUUUCUGACGAUGAAGCUGCUGUCUACUGCUUACUAUGUUUAUUAGAUUAAUCAAAAAUAUACUGCGUUACUCAGUCAAACCUGUAAUUAGUUAAAUUGCUAUACCUAUAUACACAACGGAUACUUUUACUCUCCGAUUGGUCUAAGUCAAAUGGUCUGAACAGUAUUUGGGUCUGGGUUUGUUACUUUCUUUAAAACGCUAUUGGCUAACGCUUAAGAAUUCGCCUAUCGGGGUAGCUGCAAAAACAAUGGCACAAACACCAAUCUCUGAAAGGGGCUGUUGCCUUCACUCUUUACGGGUUUGACUGACUUCGUACCUUUUUUAUACUUCUGUUAUUUGCCGAGAAGUUGAAAUUUGCAGAGCAUACAUUUGUGAGGUACGCACUAAGAGGACUUGUGGAAGACUUGCGUUGGCGAAGAGCUUUUGCUUCUUCUUUUUUUUAAGGUUAAGGCUUUUUAAUUAAGGUUUAAUAGGGGGCAGCGUCGCAUUGAAUGUAUUGGUAGUAGUUGCGAGGCCAAAGGCAUUAUGGUGACUUUCGCUCUUUUGAUCGUCUGGUUACGCAUGCGGGAGAUUAGGUUAGGGUUUUCAAAUUUACCUUUGCAUAAAGUUAGGUGGGUUAUUUGAAAUUUUUGCAAUAUUUUCAUUCACGACAUUCAGUUUUUAAUACAAGAAUGAUUUUUCAUAUCGAAGUUUUGAACAGUAAAAGAUUCUUUAGGCGACUAGGUCUUCGUUCCUCGGUGUUGAAGGUAUGUAAAUGAUAGUUCUGUUUGCAUUGGCACCUCAUUAAGGUUUCGAAACCCUUGACCUUAUUUUUACAUUGUCACCUCAUUUAUGAAUGUCGAAACGUUUUGCCUUAUGUUUACAUUGGCACCUCAUUGAUGGAUGUCGAAACGUUCGAUUUUAUUUUUACAUUAGCACCUCAUUUAUGAAUGUUGAAACGUUUGGCCUUAUGCUUGCAUUGGGACCUCAUUGAUGGAUGUCGAAACGUUCGAUUUUAUUUUUACAUUGGCACCUCAUUAUUUGAAUGUUGAAACGUUCUGCCUUAUGUUUACAUUGGCAUCUCAUUGAUAGAUGUCAAAAAGUUUUGUUUUUGUUUACAUUGUCAUCUCAUUGGUGGAUGACAAAACGUUUCUUCUUAUUUUUAAAUUGACACCUCGUUGGUGGAUGUUGAAAUGUUUUUUGAUAAGAACUGCAUCUGCAGUGACUGUUUUGUGAUCGUGUAAUGGAUUUAAGGUGGCUUACAAAUUCAACAUAAAAUCGUCCCUCCCAACCCUUUUUUGGGGUUCAUAAAUACAUUAAAAUCCAGUCAGUAAUGUUAUGUUGAAAAUCGUCUUGAAAAAGCUUUUUUUGCCUGAGGUAUUGUUUUCAUAUGAAAGAGUUGAUGUUGUGAUUGAAAUUUAUGCUAUCUGUUCUCUUUGAGGUUUACACUCUUCAAAUAGGCUGCACACAUGAAAUGUACUUCCAGUUAAACUUAACAUUCUCGAAUCGACCCUAAAAUUAUCCUACAUAUAUGUGGUUGUGUUUUUUUGUUGGCUACUUAGUAUUCUUAUUACACAACUGCCCACAACACAUCAGAGUUACAAUCGUUAUAACACCCUGAGUGUUACUACUCUCUCACGCAGUGCUGUUACUACUCUCUUACGUAGUGCUCUUGUUUCAAGAGGUUGUUGAUUUUUGAUUUUUCUUUCUUCUGGAAUUCUCCAUGACCUACAGUAAUUUUAUUAACAGCUUUGUGUGUUUUGAUCUUUUGUUUAUAUAAAAUUAACAAGAUUAUUUGUGUGUUUGAUUGACAGGAAACAUGAAAAAACAAAAAUUCGUUUUGAACAACUUACAAUAACUUCUUGCUGAAAAAUAACUUAUCAGAUUAUAUAUUAAACAAACACACUUCAACCAUGUCGAUGUCAUCCUCUUCGAUAUAUUAGUCUGUAUCAUCAUCGGAGAUGAUAUGAUAUUUUUUAAGGUGGUCGUUGUAGGAAUUGAUCUUUCCAAUGUGCCACCUAUUCUCGUAUAGAACUCCCAUUCGCCGACCACGAUAGGGUGAAUUCAGUACACGUCAUCUUCUUGAUCCUCCCACUCUUUCCCAUUGUCGUCAGGAACAUCUUUUCCAUUCUCAUCCUCAUCGUCGUUGUUUUCUCAGUAAUGUCAACAAUUUAUUGCACGCUGCUGAUGUUUUGGCUGCAGUUAAAUAAUCAGCAUAUUGUGGGACCUUGUAUGAUAAAAUACCCUCUGGCGUAACUUUAUCAUCUUCACUUCUGUCUGAUUAAAUACUUUGAGCCUCCGGGUUGUUCUUAAAAUUUUCUUAAAUUUUGAAGAUUUUGGACAUCGUGAUUCUUAUAAAAAGAAACAAUGUAUCGCUAAUUCGUUUUUUCCUGUCCGACGUGACGUCAUCAAUACCUUCCAGUUACGAAAUUCGGUUUUGUUUUAGCGAGAAGGUCGGAGGAAUAUCAUAUUUGUUUCAGUGCCAUUACACGGGGAACGUUGGUCGCAUUAAGUAAACCCACUACAAAUAGGUUGAAUAAAAGAUUCCCUUCCCAUACUGUCUGAAUGGAAAUUGCCUUGAAGUUUUUAUUUUCGUGAUAAACAAUUAUACACACUCAAUGGAAAUACACAUUUUAGUCCUGGAAUAGCAAAGUUCAAAAUCUUCCCUAAACAGGUUACUUUUGAGAUAUUAAAAUGGGGUGGCAGGCUAGGCGUAUAUCAGAACGGUCCUUGUGAAGUCACCGAGCGUUCUCUCCCGCUUUGAUUGUCGUCAUAUUUCUUGUUGUUGUCGUUAUUUUUGUUGUUGUUGUGAUGACAUGAGCGGUGAAAGCAACCAUCAAUAUGUCUUGUAACGUAUGCUAUAAAUCUUAAGCAAACAUUUGACAGCGUUUUCAAAUCACAAACAGUUCAAACUAGGCGAAAGCGACUUCAAAAAUGCUUGUCUUCCACAAUGUACUCUUGUUGCGUACCAAUCUUCGAUGCGUGGUGUGAUUUGUUGAUGAUACGCAUCAGCAAAUCACAUCGCGCAUCGAGGGUUUUUAGUAUUUUUUUUAUAUUUUUUUGUAUUUUUCAUACAGAGGAUAAUAAAAAAAUUCGGCAAGA